rnacentral:sRNA from 2 species
UCAGCCCGCUUUGGGGAGUAGCCGACAUCUUUUGCAAGAUGUGCCUGUGUCAACAUACUGGGUGCCCAAUCACCCUGGUGCAGGCGGCCUUAACGGGCAGGCGAGACCAUCGACUUCACCGUGCCAUAAAGACCGGGCGCGCGGUGGCGUCAUGGUAUCUGCCCGGUCU